GAUCCUGGCUCAGAAUCAACGCUGGCGGCGUGCCUCAGACAUGCAAGUCGAACGAUUAAACUUCUCUUCGGAGAAGAUAUAAAGUGGCGCACGGGUGAGUAACACGUAAGUAAUCUACCUUCGAGUGGGGAAUAACGUUCGGAAACGGACGCUAAUACCGCAUAAUGCAGCGGCAUCGCAAGAUGACAGUUGUUAAAGAUUUAUCGCUUGAAGAGGAGCUUGCGGCAGAUUAGCUAGUUGGUAAGGUAACGGCUUACCAAGGCGACGAUCUGUAUCCGGUCUAAGAGGACGGUCGGACACACUGACACUGAAUAACGGGUCAGACUCCUACGGGAGGCAGCAGUCGGGAAUUUUGGGCAAUGGGCGAAAGCCUGACCCAGCAACGCCGCGUGAAGGAUGAAGUUUUUCGGAAUGUAAACUUCGUAAGAAUAGGAAGAAUAAAUGACGGUACUAUUUGUAAGGUCCGGCUAACUACGUGCCAGCAGCCGCGGUAAUACGUAGGGACCAAGCGUUGUUCGGAUUUACUGGGCGUAAAGGGCGCGUAGGCGGCAAUUCAAGUCAGCUGUGAAAUCUCCGGGCUUAACUCGGAACGGUCAGCUGAUACUGCUUUGCUAGAGUGCAGAAGGGGCAAUCGGAAUUCUUGGUGUAGCGGUGAAAUGCGUAGAUAUCAAGAGGAACACCUGAGGUGAA
rnacentral:rRNA from 1 species